CAAUCCCCGGGCGCCAGGCCCUGGGAAGGGCUGGCUGUCCCUCCCUCCCGCUGCUCCACCUCCACCUGAACCUGCGGGAGGGAAUUCGACAGCUCCGGCUGCAGGGGAGAGGGAAAGAGAAGAGAAAAACAGGAGGAGGGGGACAGCAACACACCCAGCAGGCGUCACAAGGCUUGGGGGCCAAGGAGGUGCCCCCGGUUUUCCGGGCUGGAAGAGCCCACGGAGGUGUCAGGGCGAGGAGAAACCUGCCAUGAGCUGUGGGGGCUCCUGUUUGUUUCCUCCUCCUCCCUUUCCUUCUCUCCGUGCCUUUAGAGCCUUUUUGCCAGAUGAAGCUGGUGCUGGAGGUGGUUGCUCCAGCUGGUGCUGGCCGUGGGGAGCCGGAUCCGGCCGUGGCCACUGUGGACAGCAGAAAUUCCCUGUGCUACUUACCAUGGAGGUGAUUGGAGCCUCAGGCAUGGAUCAUGGAUGUGGUCGCAGCAGCACCAGCAGCCCCUGGACAAACACCAGCCUGAGCCAGAAAAACAUCAACCAGCUCAACCAGCACAUUGUCUGAGGCCAAGAAGAGAAGAGGGCCACGAGUGCAGUGAACAGCUCUCAGGACCCGGCUGAGCCCGAGAUAACGACGGAGUUUUCCCGUGGAGCCGCGUCCAUGGAGACAGCCGGGCGGAGCUGCAGCCGUGUGGGAGUCCUGACACGCGGGGAGGAGUUCGGGAAAGAGGGACUCGGGUGCCCCGGUGGUGCGAGAGUGAGGAAGGCAGCGGGAAAAGACGCCAAAGUGCAGCAAAAGGGCUGGAGAGGGAGGCUGGAACAAGCCAAUCCUCCCUCCAGGAAAUAUCUUUGUUAAUGGGCCAUUGAAUCUCAUUGCAUGACUGAUACAAUUACAUCAUCCCACUGGGAGAUGCUCUGCCCAGGGGGAGGAGCCAAGCAUUCCCACCUGGAUAUAAUCAGAGAUUUAGAACACACAGCCCCCCUUUUCCCACUGGAUUCCCAGAAGAAGACCAGGCCCAUCUAUAACACCACUGGACCUUCAGAGGGGAACUCCACCAUUCUACAGGAUCCCUGUUCCAAGAGAACCACAGCUGGCACUGCAGGAGGGCUGAGCCACCCUUUAAUGGCACUGCUACCAGCACCCUGGCCCACAGGGGGGCAGGCUGCAUUCUGACUCUGUCAGUGGUUUGUUUUC